rnacentral:tRNA from 1 species
GGGCGGUUAGCUCAGUUGGUUAGAGCAUCGGUAUCACACACCGAAGGCCAAAGGUUCAAGUCCUUUACCGCCCA